rnacentral:rRNA from 1 species
AAAGAAGAACACGUAUGAGAGUAACUGUUCAUACGUUGACGGUAUUUAACCACGAAAGUCACGGCUAACUACGUGCCAGCAGCCGCGGUAAUACGUAGGUGGCAAGCGUUAUCCGGAUUUAUUGGGCGUAAAGAGAGUGCAGGCGGUUUCUUAAGUCUGAUGUGAAAGACCUUCGGCUUAACCGGAGAAGUGCAUCGGAAACUAGGAUAAACUUGAGUGCAGAAGAGGGUAGUGGAACUCCAUGUGUAGCGGUGGAAUGCGUAGAUAUAUGGAAGAACACCAGUGGCGAAGGCGGCUACCUGGUCCGCAACUGACGCUGAGACUCGAAAGCAUGGGUAGCGAACAGGAUUAGAUACCCUGGUAG